AACGAACGCUGGCGGCAUGCCUAACACAUGCAAGUCGAACGAGACCUUCGGGUCUUGUGGCGCACGGGUGCGUAACGCGUGGGAACCUGCCCUUAGGGUCGGCCUAACUCCCCGAAAGGGGUGCUAUUACCGGAUAAUGUCUUCGGACCAAAGAUUUAUCGCCUUUGGUUGGGCCCGCGUUGGAUUAGCUAGUUGGUAGGGUAAAAGCCUACCACGGCGACGAUCAAUAGCUGGUCUGUGAGGAUGAUCAGCCACACUGGGACUGGGACACGGCCGGGACUCCUACGGGAGGCAGCAGUGGGGAAUAGUGGACAAUGGGCGAAAGCCUGAUCCAGCAAUGCCGCGUGAGUGAUGAAGGCCUUAGAGUUGUAAAGCGCUUUUACCCGGGAUGAUAAUGACAGUACCGGGAGAAUAAGCUCCGGCUAACUCCGUG
rnacentral:rRNA from 1 species